CACGGGGUUGCGAGCGUUGUCCGGAAUUACUAGGCGUAAAGGGCAGGCAGGCGGAUCCAUAAGUUUAUCGUUUAAGGCGUCGGCUUAACCGGCGUAGGGCGGUAGAUACUGUGGAUCUGGAAUGCGGUUGGGGAAGACAGAAUUCCUGGUGUAGCGGUGGAAUGCGCAGAGAUCAGGAGGAAUACCGAAGGCGAAGGCAGUCUUCCAAGCCGUUAUUGACGCUCAACUGCGAAGGUGUGGGUAUCAAACAGGAUUAGAUACCCUGGUAGUCCCU
rnacentral:rRNA from 1 species